UGGGGAAUAUUGCACAAUGGGCGAAAGCCUGAUGCAGCGACGCCGCGUGAGGGAUGACGGCCUUCGGGUUGUAAACCUCUUUCAGCAGGGAAGAAGCGAAAGUGACGGUACCUGCAGAAGAAGCGCCGGCUAACUACGUGCCAGCAGCCGCGGUAAUACGUAGGGCGCAAGCGUUGUCCGGAAUUAUUGGGCGUAAAGAGCUCGUAGGCGGCUUGUCACGUCGGAUGUGAAAGCCCGGGGCUUAACCCCGGGUCUGCAUUCGAUACGGGCAGGCUAGAGUUCGGUAGGGGAGAUCGGAAUUCCUGGUGUAGCGGUGAAAUGCGCAGAUAUCAGGAGGAACACCGGUGGCGAAGGCGGAUCUCUGGGCCGAUACUGACGCUGAGGAGCGAAAGCGUGGGGAGCGAACAGGAUUAGAUACCCCCGUAGUCC
rnacentral:rRNA from 1 species